GAUUACCUCAGUAACGGCGAGUGAAGCGGUAACAGCUCAAAUUUGAAAUCUGGGUCUUUCAGGCUCCGAGUUGUAAUUUGUAGAAGAUGCUUCGGGUGCGGCUCCGGUCUAAGUUCCUUGGAACAGGACGUCAUAGAGGGUGAGAAUCCCGUAUGUGAUCGGUUGCUUGCGCCCAUGUGAAGCUCUUUCGACGAGUCGAGUUGUUUGGGAAUGCAGCUCCAAAUGGGUGGUAUAUUUCAUCUAAAGCUAAAUAUUGGCCAGAGACCGAUAGCGCACAAGUAGAGUGAUCGAAAGAUGAAAAGCACUUUGGAAAGAGAGUUAAACAGUACGUGAAAUUGUUGAAAGGGAAGCGCUUGCAACCAGACUUGCGUGUCGUCGAUCAUCCGGGGUUCUCCCCGGUGCACUCGGCUUCACUCAGGCCAGCAUCGGUUUCGGUGGUUGGAUAAAGGCCUUGGGAAUGUAGCUCCUCUCGGGGAGUGUUAUAGCCCUCGGUGCAAUGCAGCCUACCGGGACCGAGGACCGCGCUUCGGCUAGGAUGCUGGCGUAAUGGUUGUAAGCGACCCGUCUUGAAACACGGACCAAGGAGUCUAACAUCUAUGCGAGUGUUUGGGUGUCAAACCCAUACGCGUAAUGAAAGUGAACGGAGGUGAGAACCCUUAAGGGUGCAUCAUCGACCGAUCCUGAUGUCUUCGGAUGGAUUUGAGUAAGAGCAUAGCUGUUGGGACCCGAAAGAUGGUGAACUAUGCCUGAAUAGGGUGAAGCCAGAGGAAACUCUGGUGGAGGCUCGCAGCGGUUCUGACGUGCAAAUCGAUCGUCAAAUUUGGGUAUAGGGGCGAAAGACUAAUCGAACCAU
rnacentral:rRNA from 1 species